ACUUCCCGGGCCGGAACGAAAAGGGAGUGGGUGUCGAGGACGCCGAUGAACUUUUGGCUUGUGGUUGUGAUGUUGUGUUUGCAAAUUGUCCGGCGAUUCCGGACAUGGUAGCUAGGCUACUGUUUUUUCACUUCCUGUACAUUUACCCUGUCUGUCCAUAGUGAUUUUAUGCAGCACCGCAAAACUUGCGGUGCUUUUUUUU
rfam:Serratia marcescens subsp. marcescens Db11, complete genome